rnacentral:tRNA from 1 species
GCCUCGGUAGUUCAAUGGAUAGAACAAGUCUCUCCUAAAGAUUAGAUAGGGGUUCGAUUCCCCUCCGAGGUA